rnacentral:rRNA from 1 species
GACGAACGCUGGCGGCAGGCCUAACACAUGCAAGUCGAACGAGAAGCCACCUUCGGGUGGUGGACAGUGGCAGACGGGUGAGUAACGCGUGGGAACGUGCCUUUCGGCUCGGGAUAACCCAGGGAAACUUGGGCUAAUACCGGAUACGCCCUUCGGGGGAAAGAUUCAUUGCCGAAAGAUCGGCCCGCGUCGGAUUAGCUAGUUGGUAGGGUAAUGGCCUACCAAGGCGACGAUCCGUAGCUGGUCUGAGAGGAUGACCAGCCACACUGGGACUGAGACACGGCCCAGACUCCUACGGGAGGCAGCAGUGGGGAAUAUUGGACAAUGGGCGAAAGCCUGACGCGGCCAUGCCGCGUGGAUGAUGAAGGUCUUAGGAUUGUAAAAUCCUUUCACCGGUGAAGAUAAUGACUGUAGCCGGAGAAGAAGCCCCGGCUAACUUCGUGUCAGCAGCCGCCGUAAAAC